CAGCCGCCGCGGUAAUACCGGCGGCCCGAGUGGCGGCCACUAUUAUUGGGCUUAAAGCGUCCGUAGCCGGGUUGGUUAGUCUCCCGGGAAAUCUGGCCGCUUAACGGUCAGAAUUCCGGGAGAUACUGCCAGCCUAGGGACCGGGAGAGGCCGAGGGUCUUCCCGGAGUAGGGGUGAAAUCCUAUAAUCCCGGGAGGACCACCUGUGGCGAAGGCGCUCGGCUGGAACGGGUCCGACGGUGAGGGACGAAGGCCAGGGGAGCAAACCGGAUUAGAUACCCGGGUAGUCCUGGCUGUAAACGAUGCGGACUUUGUGUCGGACAAGCUAUGAGCUUGUCCGGUGCCGGAGGGAAACCGUUAAGUCCGCCGCCUGGGGAGUACGGCCGCAAGGCUGAAACUUAAAGGAAUUGGCGGG
rnacentral:rRNA from 1 species